rnacentral:lncRNA from 1 species
UUUCAUUUUGAUGGAAUUGUAUUUAGAUCCGACUGAUCAUGCACAUUUGGAUUGGGAAACACGUUACAAAAUCAUAGGAGGCAUUGCUCGAGGGCUUCUUUACCUUCACGAAGAUUCCCGACUUCGAAUUAUUCACCGUGAUCUUAAACCUAGCAACAUUCUAUUGGAUGAAGAUAUGAAUCCUAAAAUUGCGGAUUUUGGCAUGGCAAGAUUGUUUAUGAUGGAUCAAACUCAAGGAGAUACUAAGACAAUUGUGGGAACCUAGUAAGUAUCUGCAAAUCUCAAAGCUAAAUUACAUUGUUGUGCUUGUUCACACCAUAACUAAAUUUUUAAUUUGAUGAAUAUAAUAAUGCAGUGGAUAUAUGGCUCCAGAGUAUGCAAUUCAUGGACGUUUUUCAGUCAAGUCGGACGUCUUUAGUUUUGGUGUGUUAGUUCUUGAAAUCUUAAGUGGUAAAAGGAUUAGCAGUUUUCAAAACGGCGAGAAUGAGGAGGAUCUGUUAAGCUAUGUGAGUAUGAAUAUAAGGUUUUACAUUACCAAACUCUUUUGCUACCAAAAAAACCUAACAAGAGAAAACAGCAUCAUUUCUUCUUUAAUUAAAGUGUUUAUAAACUUGAUAGGCCUGGAGGAAUUGGAGGGAUGAUACAGUGGCAAAUAUCAUGGACCCAAAGCUGACGACAGGUUUAGGAGUUGAAAUGAUGAGAUGCAUCCACAUUGGUUUGCUAUGCGUCCAAGAAAAUGUGGCAAGCAGACCAUCCAUGGCUUCAGUUGUCUCUAUGCUUAACAGCCAUUCUGUCACACUCUCACUACCCUCACGACCGGCAUCUUAUUUGCAAUAUAACAGUGUAUCAGACAUAACAGGGUCCAAUGAAUCCAAAAACUCUAUGCAUGUGUCAGGAAAUAAGAAUUCAAAUUUCACUGAACCAUAUGCUCGCUAGUGGGGUGGGGCUGAGUAUGUAUCAGGAACAAUUUAUUUUCUUUUCUUUGAUAUGCUUGUUUGAUUGAUAUAUUUGAACAACUGCAGCUCAAGUUAAAUAUUUUCUGUACAUAAAGUAAAACCAAAUUGUCGUUUAUUUGAGAGGCCAAAUUAAACUUGACGGGUGAGAAGCUUGCUUCUAGCCUUGAACUGAGGUCCAGCUGCUUCUACCUGGUUCGUGUAAUUCUGCUCAGUUUGCAAUCUAUCCUUUCUGGUUUCUUUGAAACCAGAUCUUGAACAAAAAAACAGAGUUAAGAGGACCAUGGUGAUGGUGGAUCCAAUUUGUUUUGGUAUCAAUUUUGAUAUCAAAUGCCAAUCAGGACUGGAAACAAAUUUUCAACAAAACCCAAAUCAACCCAAAACCAGCCAACCAUAUAAUCAAGCCAACACAAGCCACCAAUAAAUUUCGGAUUAAUUUGGGUUUGGGUUAGUUUAAGGCCCAUAUUAAAAUAAAAAGAAAGAACUAGAACCCAAUAUGACGGGCAAUCCCUGCUGUAAUUUCAACCCCCGCAUAUUAUAGAAGCUCCCAAGCGGCCAAGUCCUUUACAAGAGUUCAGGCCAGGAGAAAUUUUUGCAUCAACAGAUUUUGAUGGACGGACGUGUCCGACCAAUAUUCCUCGUACUUACCUUGUUCUUUUUGGUCACAUCCAUCAGAGUCAUUCCAUGCAGCUGCCUAAUUCAUCCAUUCCAUGCAGCUGCCUCUUGUUUUUUUUAAAAAAUCUUUAGAAAAGUCACUGAUUAACGAUUUGUCUACUGAUUAAAAUGGAAAAUAUCAUAUUCAUCAAAGAAAGAAAAUGGAAAAUAUCAUACGCUAUACCUAUAUGGGAUUGGUCAAUAUUGUACCACAAACGUAAGAUAGAAUUAAGGGUCAGGAAAUCGUCAAGGAACUAAUGUCUUUCCUUUAUAAGACAAGUUGCUACUUGUGAGUUGAGCAAGAAAAAUGGGUUCCUCAAGAUCAAUGCUUUUCUUCAUUAAUCUUGCUAUUAUUAUCUUAAACCUUGUUGCUCCCACCAUAUCCCAAGAUGAUGGAAUAUGCACGCUUACAGCUGAUUACUGCUGGAAAUGCUCUGAUACUGGCACCUACACAGCAGGUGACAAGUACCAAGAGAACCUCAACAGCCUCCUCUCUUCCUUCUCCUCCAACACCACCACAAACAAUUCAGGGUUUUACAAUUCAUCCAGGGGACAAGACUCCAACAAGAUCAAUGCAAUUGCAUUAUGCAGAGGAGAUCUCUCACAGAACUCUUGUCAGGCUUGUCUCAACAAGUCUACUGAUAUUCUCUUGCAAAUUUGUUCAACUCAUAAGGAAGCAAUCAUAUGGGCGGAGCCUUGUAUGGUGAGAUACUCACACGACGUGAUAUUUGGUAUUGAACAAACGGACCCUCUUAAGCAUUUGCCUAGCCCAAACUAUCCUAAAAAUUCUCAACAGUUUGAGCCGGUGCUUACCCACUUGUUGGGUAAUUUAAGUGACAGAGCUGCGUCAAUGAAUUCUCUUAAAAAAUUUGCAGCAGGGCAUGCAACUGUCCCUGGAGGUGAACCAAUAUACGCACUUGCUCAGUGCACUCCAGACAUAGACAAGCAAAAUUGCAGCAGUUGCCUUAAACAGUCCGUCACAGAAAUUCAAACCUGUUGCCGUGGAAGGAAUGGAGGAAGAGUCCUUAAACCCAGCUGUAAUUUAAGGUAUGAGAAUAACAGUUUCUAUGCGUCUACGCCGAUUCCUUCGUAGAUAUUCCAGCUCCAGUUCCAGCAGCACCAGCACCUGAGGAAGGUAUGUAUGCUUAUUAUGGUUACCCUGAAAAUCUUCAAUUUGAUCCAUGUCUUACAAUUGUGUGGUGUGGUUUUGGCUUUUGAUAAGAUAUCCCAUCUGAUUUUCAGCAAAAAAGAAUAUCCCAUCUGAUUUUCAGCAAAAAAGAAGAGUAACACAAAACAAACUGUCAUCAUCAUCGUUGUGGUUUUGGUUGUUUUUGUCACUAUUGUCAGCAGCAUAUGUUUUUCCUUCAGAGUAAGGAAACGAAGGGUAAAACUUGAACAAGGUAAGUUCAACCCUGUUUAUUUAUCUUAUCUAAGGUUUUGGAACUCUGUUUGCUAAUUCAUUUUCCCCUUUUUAGAUGAGACUUCGGAAGAAAUAAAUUUGGUGGAAUCGUUGCAAUAUGAUUUUGAAACUAUAAGAUCUGCAACAGAUGACUUCUCUGAUGCAAAUAAGCUUGGACGAGGUGGAUUUGGAGCUGUUUACAAGGUAACAAAACAAUCACUUUCACAAGAAAAAAAAAAUAUUAAUCUAAGCAUGGUUUCCUUAUUUUUCUGUUUUAAACAUUCAGGGUAGACUAGUAAAUGAGCAACCUAUAGCCGUGAAAAGGCUCUCCAAAAAUUCUGAACAAGGUGAUCGUGAAUUUAAGAAUGAGGUCAUGUUACUUGCUCAGCUUCAACACCGGAAUUUAGUAAGGCUCCUAGGAUUUUGCUUGAAAACAGAAGAAAGGUUUCUCAUUUACGAAUACGUGCCUAACACAAGUCUUGAUCACUUCAUUUUUGGUAUAUUUUCUCUGCCUCAAAUUUCAUAUAAUUUAUAGUAAUUUCUUAAAGAUUAAAAAAGUUCAUAUUUCACUACUACAAAAAAGCAAAAAGACGACGGUAAAUCACCGUCGUGUAUUUGGUUUUUCAAUGGUCGUGGAAUCCACCGUCAUCUUUUCCCUCAUAAACCACGACGCUAAAUAACCGUCGUUGUUAAACAAUACAACGUCAUCAAAAAAUACAAAACGACGUCUUUGUACUGCAAAAAGAUCUAAAAAAAGCAAUCGAGGAUGAUAAUAGACGACCAAUUCUCUAAAAACACCGUCGUUAAAAAGGGAAAAUAUGACACAUAUUAAGAGAACAAAGCCGCAAGAUAGACAUACAACGACGACAAUAAAAAUACGCCGACGUUAAAUAUAAUUUUCACGACAAUAAAAAAUAUGACGUCUUUAAAUACAUUAGAAGACGACGUUAUUGAUACCUACUACGUCGCACAUAUAAACACAACCGUCGUACAAUUAAUUUUCCACUUCGAUUUUUCGAUAAAAGAUGACGUGGAAAUAGUUGUCAGUGUCAUUAUUUAUGACGUAUGUGUUUCUAUAGUAGACGUUGAAAAACUAAACAACGUCAGUUACAAAUAUAUGAGAGUCGUAUUAAAAAAUUUAUACGUCCUAUUUUCAGAAACAAACAACGACCAUAAAUAUUAGACGUUGUUAAAUACAACAACGUCGGAAAACAAUAAAAACAGACGUGUUUAGUCUGCUAAAGUUCUACAACGUCUCUUAUUUACAAAAAACCGUCGUGAAAUAAAUUUUCCACUUCGAUUUUUCUAAAAAAGAUGACGUGGAAAUAGUUGUCAGUGUCAUUAUUUACGACGUAUACAUUUAUAUAGUCGACGUUGUAUUUAUAUGUAUUCAUUACUCACGACGCACUUAAUAAUAUAGACGACGUUGAACGUCUAAACAACGUCGGUUCCAAAUAAAUGAGAGCCGUAUUACAGAACAUAUAGACGGCGUAGAUUAUGAUGGGAGCCGUAUUACAAAUAACGUCGUUUAAUUGUUAUUAGACGGCGGUUAUAAUGAAUUUCCGUCGGAAUUAAUUUCGUUCCUCUUCGUUUAUAAAAGAACUUGCGACGUGGAAAAUGUAUGAUGACGUCGUAUUUUUUAACGUUCAGAUUACAUAUCUCGUUUUUUAGACGUCGGUAUUAUGGGAUUGGAGUCGUGUUAUUUUGAAUUACAUGGCGGUUCUUUAUCCUUCACCGACGUGAUAUCCUGAAUAAUUGCUUCACAAUAGCGUCGUGGUUCUUCAUUGUUACGUUGCUUUAAGACGUCGGUAAAUAUGCUGAAUAACUGAUUCACAAUAACGUCGUGUUUUAUUUGAACGUAGAAAGUGAAGAAAUCACAUUACAAUAUAUUACAAAAUUAAUGUCAUACACUGCCAAUUACAUAAGCAUCAUUCAAUCCAUAUAUCUUCACACCCAUCUCGAAUAUUUUGACCGCCUAACUCACCUACCAGUUCAUCAAAUGUGUCAACAUUUGGCAUCCCUCUAGUAAAUGGCUCACACUCAAUUAUCACAUCACCUAAUACUUCAUCACCAAUAACAUCAUUAUAUUCUCUACUAGGCAUUGAUAACACUACCGACCAACCACGAUGCAUCGGGUCGUCAACAAAAAAUAUUUGUUUGACUUGAGAAGCCAAAACAAAUUGGUCAUUCCUAUGUCCAAUUUUACUCAAAUCUACAAGGGUAAAUCCAAGUUCGUCGACUACAAGACCAGAACUAUCUAUCCAAUCACACCUAAAGACUGGGAUUGUAAACUUUUGGUAGUCAAGGUCCCAAAUUUCUUGAAUGACACCAUAGAAACCCAUAUUUGAGAGAAUUGGGUUUUUAUCCUUGGCACUAGCAACUUGCAUGGUAUGUGCAAGUAAAUAAACUCCACUAUUUUGAGUUGUCCGCACAUCAUCUUGUGCCUUGAUAUUGAAUUUAAUACCUUUAAUAAGAUAGCUCCUAUAUAAUGGCACUGACAUGUUUGGACCAGCUGCUAGCCACCUUAAAUUUUCUGAUACGCCAUGAUUGUCUUCCUCAACUUCACUUUGAACCUGCAAAUUAAUCAUAUCUUAAUUCAUCCUAACAUAUAAAUAAGAAGAAAAUUAAAAGAGAAAUACGUUAUUCAACAACAUAUACCUUGAAGCGUAGCCAUUGAAUGAAAGUGCUAUUGUGCUUAUCCUGCAGCCACUUUGUUCUCUUUCUAAAUUUUGGAUAAGCAGUCUUGAUGUGGAUCAUAUGUUGCCUACAUGACACGAAAAAUUCAAGCAUUACGGUCCCAAAUAUAUAAGAUAAACAUAAGAAAUAAUUUUAAAUGGAAACUUAAAGAAUAAAACUCAUACGUACUCGAUAUAAGGUAGGACUUCCUCCGUAUUCUCCAAGACAUAUAGAUGUGCUUGAUUCAACAGGUCCUGAUCAACUACGCUCACUGUGCAACCUGAUAAUGGCUUUGAAACUCCUAUCUUUUGGCUUGAAGGCACUCCAACUGUACUAACAUCAGAUAAAUGCUGAGUACAAAACUCUACCGCUUCUUCAGCUAUAUACCGCUCAGCAAUGCAACCUUCGGGACGAGUACGAUUCUGAACAUACCCCUUCAGCACUUUCAUAUAUCUUUCAAACGGAUACAUCCACCUAAAAUAUACUGGCCCACAUAGACGAACUUCUCUGACAAGAUGUACUACUAGAUGAACCAUGAUAUCAAAGAAUGAAGGGGGAAAGUACUUCUCAAGCAAACACAGAGUAACUACUACAUCUUCUUCCAACUUAUCUAGCUUGGAAACAUCAACAGUCUUUGCACAUAUAGCAUUGAAGAAGAAGCACAAACGAGUUAUUGCAUACCUUGCAGGCUUCUCCAAAACAGAACGAAUUGCCACAGGGAGCAAUUGUUGCAUUAAGGUAUGACAAUCAUGUGAUUUAAGGCCAAGAAGUCUUGAAUCUUGUACAGAUACAAGAUUUUUAAUAUUUGAAGAAUAACCUUCAGGGACCUUCAUACCAUAGAAAGAAUUGCAAACCUCUCUCUUCUCUGCUCUUGACAAAUUCCAAGGCCCAGGAGGCAAACGAGUACGUCUUUCUCCAUACUCGGGUUGCAAAUCAGUUUUGACCCCCAUGUUCAAUAAAUCUAAUCGAGCAGCAAUCCCAUCUUUAUUUUUUCCAGGGAUCUCCAGCAAUGUACCAAUGAUACUAUCGCAAACAUUCUUCUCAAUGUGCAUAACAUCUAGGGCAUGCCUCACAGGAAGGUAUUUCCAAUACUCGAGAUCAAAGAAUAUUGAUUUCUUCUUCCAACAAACUCUGUCACCAUUUUCAACCAUAUGCAGCACUUCUUCUCCGGUUAAUGGCUCGGGAGGUAUGCCAUAUUCAGGUUUCCCAUUAAAAGCUGCACGUUGCCUCCUAUAUGGAUGAUUGAUUGGUAACCAUUUUCUAUGCCCAAUGUAACAAAUUUUGUGGCCAUUUUUCAACCUGUGACUAGGUGUAUCAUCGCCGCAUAUUGGACAAGCUUUAUAUCCUUUAACAACACAACCAGAUAAGUUUCCAUAGGCGGGGAAAUCAUUAAUUGUCCACAUUAAUGCAGCUCUGAGUGUAAAGUAUUCUCCAUUAUGUGCAUCAUACACUCCUCUAAUCCCAACCCACAAGGAUUUUAAAUCAUCAAUCAAAGGCUCCAAGUAGACGUCUAUAUCAUUUCCGGGUUGUUUAGGACCGGAAAUCAAUAAGGUUAANNNNNNNNNNNNNNNNNNNNNNNNNNNNNNNNNNNNNNNNNNNNNNNNNNNNNNNNNNNNNNNNNNNNNNNNNNNNNNNNNNNNNNNNNNNNNNNNNNNNNNNNNNNNNNNNNNNNNNNNNNNNNNNNNNNNNNNNNNNNNNNNNNNNNNNNNNNNNNNNNNNNNNNNNNNNNNNNNNNNNNNNNNNNNNNNNNNNNNNNNNNNNNNNNNNNNNNNNNNNNNNNNNNNNNNNNNNNNNNNNNNNNNAGUCAAACUCUUAGCUGUCUCAUGUGAUUGAAACAUCCUUUUAAACCUUGGAAUUGGGGGAAAAUACCACACCACCUUCGCUGGCACACCCUCUUUCAAGAUUGCAUCUUUGCCUUCCUUCCACCUUGAGAUACCACAAGUAGGACAAUUAGUUGAAUCCUCAUACUCCUUCCUAUACAAGAUGCAAUCAUUGGGGCAUGCGUGCAUUUUCUCAUAACUCAGCCCCAAUGCACACAAAGUCUUUUUAGCCUCAUACAUGGAGGUUGGUAUUGUAUUUCCUUCUGGAAGCAAAUCGCCUUGAAGUAUCAAUAAUUCUGUAAAACAGACAUCACUCAUCCCAUGUUUUGCCUUCAAAUUAUACAACUUCACUAAUGCCGAUAACUUCGUGUACUUUCUACAACCAGGGUACACUGGUUGAUCUCCAUCCCCAAUCACAUUGGCAAACUCAUACGGAUUCGAACCAAAAUCACCAAAAUCAUUAUCAUCCAUAUCAAUUUCUUCAGACACAAAACUGUACCUACUAUGGCCAUCAUCUUCUUCAACAUUUCUGCUAGCAUUAGUAGUUGCUUCCCAAGGUUCUCCGUGAAAUGUCCAAUUCUUAUAGCUUUGGUCAAUUCCAUUAAAGUAUAAGUGAUCCCUUAUAAUUCCAACCCCAAACAACUUCAAAUUAACACAUUUAACACAUGGACAACGGAUAUGUGUUGUAGUUAGAAGAUUUUCUACAGCAAAGUUCAAAAAUGCUUCCACCCCAAACUCAUAUGCCUUCGAUCUUCUAUCCGAGUGCAUCCAUGACUUAUCCAUCUCCGACACUAUAACCUAUUAUCUAUAAUAAAGUGAAAAUACAGGCAAUGACCAUCACUAUAGCAGAUUAUACAAUGAUCUAAUCGCAAGUAAUAAACAACAGAGACGACGGGUUUUAAUCAAAAACAGACGUAUUUGGCAUAUAUAGACGACGGAUUUUCAACAGACGUCGUCUAUUAUACGUAAUACAAACGACGUUUUAUGAAAAAACCGUCGUGUAUAAGUAAUACAACGACGGUAGUUUAAAAACACCGUCGUGUAAUCGUCGUCGUACGCCUUAAAAUUCGUCGUGUCUCAGUUUAUUUUCAAGAACACAAAACCCAUUAAGAACACAACAUAUAUAUGAAACCAAGCAAGAAACCAACAUAUACAUGAAACCAAGCAUGAAAACAAUAAAUCCAUUCCCAAUUCAACAUAACAUAGGGUGAUUAAAAGAUACGACAAAAUUAAAUCCAUUCCCAAUUCAACAUAACAGAUAAUGUAAUCCAUGAACCCAUUAAACAGAAAAUCCAUGAACCCAUACCUAUAAGCAUUGGUGCACUUUGCACCUUCUCCAGAGCGGAAAAUGACAAGAUCAAAUAAAGGUGUCCUUUUGCUGGAAAUCAUUUGGAAGUUGGUGAUGUGUCUUUUUGUGUUGAUUUCCAGCAAAAGUACACCUUUAUUUGAUCUUGUCAUGAACCCAUUAAACAGAAAAUCCAUGAACCCAUACCUAUAAGCACAUUAUUAACAGAUCGCAAAGCAUAUACCUAAAACCCUUUAACAAAACAACCUAAUAUCAUUCAAUGAAUUUACAAGGGGAAGAUAGGGUUUGUACUUACAGGUUGGACGAGCUCACAGAUUCGACGAGCCUGGAGAGUGCAACUUUUAAUUAGAGCAGAAGUGAGAGAGCGAAAUGUUAUGUCGCGUGAAAUCUGAAAUUUUAGGUUUCAGGGAUCAAAGUAUAAGAAUAAGAGCCAAAUCUAAAAAAAUUUAGGUCGCGCGAAAAUUUUUAGAGCGCGCGCGUUAUAAAACGUCGAAAGAAAAACCAAGGCGAAAGUUCUACAAGUACCGACGUAAAUUUAAUAUUCCACGACGGAAACUUCAUUUUUCGGAUUAAGAACGUAAGGCCGUUCAUUUUUCGGAUUAAUUUUAAAUUUAUUUUGAAUUUUUUAUAUAACGACGACUGAAAAACCACGUCGGUGUUAAGAAAUUAAAGACGUUGUAAAUUAUAUAAACCGACUUACAUAUUAAAAUAACGUCGUUUAAAGCGUAAACCAUGUCGUAUGUUUUACUGUACGACGUAAAAUAUGUAUUCCACGACCCAACCACCGUCGUUAAAAAUUAAUACACUAAACCCAUAAAAUUAAAUUAUACAAUUUAAAAAAUUAAGUUUAUAAAAGGUUUUAUGGUUUUAAAGCCUAACAUAUAACAUAGACUACCCAAAAAUUAUACUUUAAAAAUAAACCCCAAUAAAUAACAACCCUAAUCUCUAAACCCUAGACUCUAAACCCUAAACCAUAAAACUAGAAGUGAUUUUAUGACUCAUCAAAACAAUUUUGUUUUGGAUGGUCAUUUUAAAUUUUUGUUAUUCAAAAUGAAUUUUUUCAAGGUUUAUGUGGAAGAAAAUAUAUCAAUGACUUCAUAGGAGUUGACUUUUCAAUUUUCUGAUUUAUUUUAUAUUUAUUUUGAAUAUUUUGAUAUAAAAAUAAUAAAAUAUUCUUACCAUACAACAAACCACGUCGGUGUUAAAUAAAUUGUAGACGUUGUAAAUUGUAAUAGACUACUAAGUCGUUAAAAUGACGUCGUUAAAAUGAGAAACCAUGGCGGCUAUUUAACUAUACGACGUAAAAUAUAUAUUUUACGACUUAACCGCAGUCGUUACAUAAACGUCGUCGAUUAUACCCUGAACCCUUAAGAAAUUGAAGAUAUUGUAAACCAUUAACGACUCAAUUGUUCAAAGAACGUCGUCUAACUAUUUUUUUACGUCGUAUUUGUUUAAAACACGCAACAACAAAAUACGACGGUUAUUGACUUUAUUAGGUCGUUGGAAAAGUAUUACACGUCGGUUAAGCAAUUUGUAUGUUUGUUUUUUUUUUAAUUUAAGAAAACCUCAACAAAUUUUUACAUUACAUAUUAUAGAGAAAAUUGGUACAUUAUACAUAAAUAUCAAGUGUUCAAUAAUUGCCCUGUUUAAUAAUUUGGAAAACAAACUCUGCCCAUUCAUUCCGGACUUCAUCAAUGGCUUCUUGGGGGUAUGAAGCUUCCUGGUUUCCCUUGGCAUACUGCAUAAACAAUGAAUAUUAGGGUUUAUAAAUAAAAAGAAAUUCAAUCACAGACGACGAUAUUUUUCAUAACCGACGUAGUAUAUCCAUUCAACGACGUUAAUUUUACACGACCGUCGUUGAUAAUACAAAAAACGACGUGAAAUGUAUGAAGGUAAUUUCUUCUUACCUUAUUCUCAAACCCCAAGGAAGGAUCCAUGAUGAUGUCCCUCAUGAAGCGCAUUACAUAAUACCCGCAUUCGACAUUGCUGGGUUGCUUUGGUGUGCCUGAGAGAGUUUUCCAAAUUACAUUUUUACGUCCUGCUCGGGCUAUGUGGGUAUUAUAUAUUUUUAAAGCACUGUUCACGAUGUUUUUGGCCUCUUCAUCGACCACACGAUUUCCUGGCAGAGGAUCCAGAAAAUAGACGGUUUCUCUCUUUGCUCUUACAAUCAGCAAAAUCCAAUGACGGCUGCACAAAAUUAAUAUAAAAACGACGGUUAUUUACAAAAACGACGUAUUAUAGUAUUUCACACGACGAAGUAAAGUAGCUAACGACGACAUUAUAUAUUUAUCACGACGAUAAAUAAAUACCGACGUGGUUAGUAGUUUCAAACGACUAAAUAAAAUAAAACACCGACGUGGUUAGUUUAUAAGCUGUCAUUUAUUGAAAAUCAUAAAAACAAAAUCCUAAGGAGACUAACCCUGGAUUGUAAGGCAUCAUGAAAAUCUGUUCACCGUCUGUCUUCUGAAGUCGAGCUGCUACGAGUCGUGAUCUUUCAGUUAUUGUGCCAGAGUUGGCACUAACUGUACCAGGGUCGAUAAAGCCAACCAUACUGCACAUAUUGGCUUUUUUCAAAACAUCGUGUAAGUACCUAAACAAAUAAAAUAAUAUAAACAAGUCAGCACACAAAACACGACGGUUAUGUAUAAAAAAACGACGUAUUAUAAUAUUUCACACGACGUACUGAAAUAGAUGAGGACGUUAUAAUAUAUUUAUCACGACGGUUGUUAGUUAAGACGACGUGGUUAGUUAGUUAAGACGACGCAAUAUAUAAACCAACGAGUUAUUAUUUUAGAAGUACAAACCUCAUAUAUACAGCCAAUACAGUAGCUCCAAUUUCUUCCAUGCCUGCAAAUUGUGUAAUAUCUUCAGGCAGGAGGAAGGUAUCGCGCUCACCACCAAACACCUCCUUAUCAAUUGUAAAUUGGACUGUCUUAUCCUCAGGCAGGAGUGUCGUUUCCACAAAACGACAAAGGGUUUUUAAAGAAGAUGGCGCCUCCAUUUUUGAAUAAGCACCAACUUCAAUAACCUGUUUAAAGAAAUAAAAAAAAUGACGUGGUAAUUCAAUAAAGACGACGGUUUAAGUAAUAAAACGUCGUCUUAAAAGUAUUUAAACGACGGUGAAAAAACUGUCGUGGUAAUUCAAUAAAGACGACGGUUUUAUGAAUAAAGCGUCGUCUGAAACCAUUUAAACGACGGUGCAAAAACCGUCGUUUAAAUAUUUUAUUACGUCUUAAAAAAAUUCCGCCGUCUAAGUUUUAAACAAACGACGGAUUAAAUAAAAAUAUCGACGUCUGAAAUUUUGAAAAACAAAUAAAAAAGGCAAAGUUAUGUGAACAUACCUUGUCGUCAUGCUUUUCUUCAUCUUCUUUCUCCUUUUCUUCUUCCUUCUCUUCAUCUCUUUUUUCUUCUUCCUUCUCUUCAUCUGGCUGAUGUUUCCCCAUUUUGGCAGUAUCAUCCUCCAAAUGUAGGGAUCUCACAUCACCUCCAGAGCAGCUAGCUUUGUCAGACAUUGGAUUUUUGGGGCUUUGGCUAAUUCUUGGUUUAAGCAUGCUUGGAUCAAAAUUGGGAAUUAAUUGGGAAAGCUGACUCAGGAAAUGCUCCCUCUCAGCCUCUACCAAUUGUUUUGUCCUAGCCUCCAUCCUUAAGGCCUCUUCCCUUGCCUUAGCCUCCAUCUUUUUAGUCUCUUCUUGAAGGAGAACUCUUAAAACUGUCCUUCAAACGGUCGUCAAAGCUCACCCUCUGUGGUUUGGGCAAAUUGAAAUAUUGCCUUGGGGAAACACCAGCACCAACUCCCCUCAGUCUGCCUGGAUGCUCGGGGCCCAAAGCCAUGGUCAGCACAUCAUUGCUGCCAUCUACUCUGACUUUGCCUUCCGAGACUUGUUUCUGCAAUUCAUCCUAAAAAAAGAUAAACAAAAAAACACACGACGGUUAUUUAUGUACAAACGACGUAUUAUAUAAUUUCACACGACGCAAUAACGUAUAAACCGACGUUAUUAUAACUUAUCACGACGGUAGUUAUACCGACGUGGUUAUUUAUUUAAAACGAGGAAAUGAAUAAACAACCGACGUCUUAUGCUAUAAUUAAAGAUAACAGAGUAGUGAUUCCUAUUUAGACCGUUAACGACGUUUUUAAAAAAUUUUCGACGUGGUAAUAUCAUUCACACGACGCGAAAAUGAACCACCGACGUCUUAUGCUGUAAUUACAGAAAACAUAGUAGUGAUUCCUAUUUAGACCUUUAACGACGUUUUUAAAAACUUUUCGACGUGGUAAUAUCAUUCACACGACGAAAAAUAUAACAUACGACGUAAUAAGAAUAAUUCACAGUUUAAUAAAAAUUUAAAACAGAGUGAUAGUAGGCUUACAAUUAAUUUUGCUUUCUCUGCCACCUUUGGAUCAGGGAUGUUACCAUGUUUGUCCUGUCUAGCUCUCUUCCAUAAGGUAGAUCGAUCAAUUUCUACCCCAGGCAUGGUUUCCUCCAAUUGAUCCUCCAAUCCAGCAUAUCCUUUUCGAGACAAUCGAUGAUUGUACUCGAGUUUCUCCCUAAUCUGUGCAUGUUGAGAAUGCACAGACUCAAAAUCUUUGGAUAGCCUUGAAGCUACAAAGGCAUCCCAUUGUGCUUUCUCUAUGAAUUUAUAUGUUUCAGGGGGUUGGCUUAAUUUCUCCCUGUCAUUGGUGUAUGGAAGGAUAUAAUGCCUCGUUAGUGUAGACUUGAAAUCCUUCCAUUUCUUGGAAGCAGAAGCUAAAACAGAGGUCUUGCCCCCUUGGCCUACGACAAAAGCCAUGUCAACUGCUUCCCAAAUCUGCUCCUUUAUAUCCUUGGGGAUUUGGGACCAUUUCUUGUCCACAAGUGGGAUCCUGGAGCGUGCCAACACACCAAUAUACGACUGCAUCUCAAUAUGUGCUUGGCCAACACCUUUCCCCCUUUUAUUGUACUCAACAAUUGGCCUCAGUUUCUGAAGCUUUCUCUUCACAACACGAGGCAUUGUGCUCAUACCUCGACCAGUCUUUGAAUCAUCUGAGAUUGUUGUCUGGCUGGUUUGUUCUGUCUCAGCAGAUGAUGAAGCAAACUUCAUCUUCUUCGAAGACUUCAUCUCCUUCGAAGACUUAUCUUGAGGAGCUACCAUUCCAAGCUUCUUGGAGCCAGAAUCCUUAGUUUGUUGUUGAGAAACCAUUUUAACAGACAAAACUGCAAGUGAAAAUAUUUCAGGAAAACAUUAAGAACACAAACGACGGUAUUAACAAAAUACGACGUAUGAUAUGAUUUUAGACGACGCAAUGAAAUAAUCUCAGACGUAAUAAAUGUUUAAAACCAUUAUUUAUAUAACGUCGUGGUAUAUAUGUUCACACGACGUCAAUAGUAAUACACCGUCGUGGUAAACUAUUAUUUAUAUUUUAUCGUCUAUAUUAGAUACCAACCCUAGUUUCUUUUUCUUUAUAUUUUAUCAAAUAAGGGAAAAACAAAAACCAUUGUUCAGCGAAAUCAAACCUGCAAUUAAACAAGCAUAUAAAAAAAGACUAUUAUUUUAAAAACAACUUUGUCAAUUUUCAGACGACGCUAGAACAACUGACGAACCGUCGUGGUCUACCGUCGUCUUAUUUAGUUGAUGUAGUUGUCUUCAAAGUUGGAAACUUUCUCUCUUUGUCUGUAUAUUUUAUCAAACUUGGAAAGAAGUAAAAUGAUUUUGGCCAGAAAAAAGGUAAAAAGAUUUUUCAAACAAAAAACGUAUGAGCAUGCAAAACAGUAACCAAAAUAGUGAAAAUGAAAGCUUACCUUUUGCGUGCAAUGAAAGCAAGAGGAAGAUGAUCGAUGUUUAAGUUCAGAGACGACGAAGAAGACGAGAGGAAGACGAUGAGAAACUCUGACAAUGCUCUGACAAGGAAAAAAGACGAAAAGGUUUCUCUGGGAGAUUGAAAUUUUUAAUCGGGUUUGGAAACAGUGCAUGUGUAAGUCGAAAAGUUGCUUACAUAUAAAACCAUUUCAAAAAAAUAAUACGGCGGUUACAUUUAACUACGUCGUUUUUAACUAAAACGACGCAAUAUUUUUCAUUCGACGUGGAAUCAUUUCAUUUAACGUCGUUAGGUUUAAUAUAACCGACGUGGAUUUUAAUUUUUAAAUUAUGAAUAGAAUUUUUUUUCCCGUGACCUUUCAGUUUAUUUUUCAAUUACAGUGCGUUAUAAAUAGAGUUUUUUUUCCGGAGGAAAUUUAAAACGAAGGAAAUUAAUAUUCUGCAAUAUGUAAAGUUUCUUUUUUGGAUGACAGAUUUAAAUAAAAUAAGAAUAUAAAAACAACAAAUGUGUAAGUCAAGUAGACGAAAAGUUGCUUACAUAUAAAACCAUUUCAAAAAAAUAAUAUGGCGGUUACAUAUAACUACGACGUAUAAAUUACAAAAUACGACGGUACAUUUAAUUUCGGACGUGGUAAAUAAAUACGACAGUAGUUUGUAGGUACCGUCGUAGUAAACUCAAAAAUUAAAGUACAUAAGUAAUAACUCGCGUCAUGGUAUAUUAUUUAACACGUCGUUUUUAUUAAUUUACCGACGUGGAUUUCUGUAAUAUACGUCGAUCAUACCGACGUUGAUUUUACAAUUUAAACGGCGGUUUUUUUGUAAGGACCGCCGUUGGUUUUAAAAAUUUAUUCUAUAAAUUUGUCGCUUUCAUUCAUUUUCGGUUUACAUUUAAGGUUCCAAGUUCUUCCUCUCUCAGUCUCUCAUGUCUCAAAGAUAAUAAUUUGGAUGUUUUCUCAAAGAGAAAUUGAGCUUACUCGCAUCAAAUAUAUGUCCACAAGAAGAAGCUUGUCAACUAGCCUUCUCACUUCCUUGAUCAAGCCUGAUAGGACACUUAGUGCUUCUGAAUACUCCUUGCUUUCCAUCAAAAGAGAUGCAAGCCUGGCCUCCACUCGCUGUCGAAGGAAAGUUCGCUUCUCAGGGAAAUCUGAAGAUCAGAUGUGCCUGAUCCUCUGCUUGAUUUUCUUGCCUAAGAAGAUCCGUCGGAUUUAUUGUGAUAGCCUCUUCCUUUAUCCGUAGAGCUUCAGAAGAAGAAGAUGGGUUUCAAGAAUGCGAUAAAGAAUAGAAAUGGCUUCAGAUGGCCUCUAAAGCAUGAGCAAUUGAAUCAGUAGUUUCUGGGAGAUAUGAUGAAGACAUUGUCAAUGCUUUGAACUACACAAGUCCUGCAGAAGAUAUGUUAAAGAAACUGAAACAACGGCGGUUUUCUGUUCUACCGUCGUCUUUUCUCGUCGUCUAUAUUAAGUUACGAUGGCGGUAGAUUUAUAAUUACCGACGUAGAUUAUUUUGUUAAACGUCGUUAAGUGUACUACAACCGACGUGGAUUUUAAUUUUAAAUUAUAAAUGGAGUUUUUUUUCCCGUAUUCUUUCAGUUUUAGUUUUCAAUUCCAAAGCGUGAUAAAUAGAUUUUUCUUUCCCGAGGAAAUUUAAAAUGAGGGAAAUUAAUGUUCUAGAAUUUGUAAACUAACACGACGCAAUAUUUGCAAAUCUGUGUCAUCUGUUAAGAUUAUGAUGUGGAACAGAGUUCCAUCUGGUAAGAUUUCGUAACCCUUGGGAUCUCAGACAAAACUGAUUAUGUCGGCGGUGUUCUAUAUAAACCGUCGUGGUUAUUUCAAUUCUUGUCAUUAAGUAGAUCUACCGACGUAGGAUAAGAAAAUCAAAGAAAAAAAUUGUUAACAAAAAUUCUUAUUAAGACGACCGUUAAAAUUAAAGGUACGACGUAUAAAAUGAAUAAAUACGACGAUAAAUUUUAUUGUACGAUUUAAAGAUAACGUAGUAGAACUAUACGAGAAUGACGUCGAUAUAUUUAUAUUUUUCGUCGUUGUAAAUUAAUUUAAUACGGCGAUAUUUUGUAUUUUAAAGCCGUGGAUUUGUUUGUAAUUAUACGGCGUCUUAUACGAAAACCUCGUCGUGUUAUUUUAUGAGUAAAAACGGCAGUUUUUAUUGAAAUCGUCGUCUUUACUUUCUACGUCGGUCGAUUCAUAACUUCUGCCGUUCUUUGUUGGCAUUGAUUUUACACUGAGGAAAUCUGUUUCAAAUAGACGUCGGUUGUUUAAUUAUGUACGUCGUUGUUUUUGAACAGCCAUUUGAAACUCCAUUUUUUAGUUGUCUAAGGUUGUAUUACACGACGGUGUUUUUAGAACCGUCGUCUUUUUAUAAACCACGACGGUUUUCACUUAGACCGUCGUUGUUUUCUGGUCGUCUUUUUCACUUUUUGUAGUAGUGAUAUUGGUAUGCAAUUGGUUGCUCUUGGUUGUCAAUUACACAAUCCAUGUUUGUCAAUUACUCAAAUCGCCAUGAAUAUUGAUAAUACUAACUAGAAGUAGUUACUUAAAAUAAAAGUUCGUAAGUGAUUAAACUAAUAUUUUCUAUUUGUUACUUAUUUAUGUCGAUCCAUAUAACCUAAUACUUUCUAUUUGUUAUAACCUGUAUUUAUUUUAUCCUUAAUUAAUUCAAAUAUUUUUUAGGAGAAAUAAACUUGUCCAAAUGUAUGGUACAAUUCAAAUGUUAUAAAAAUUCGUAAAUGAUUAAACUAAUAUUUUCUAUUUGAACUUGGACAACAAGUCCUUAUUAAACUCAUAAAGCCACUUGGCAUUUUCUAUGUUAUAAUAGUCCUUAUUAAUUGCAACAUAAAUUUAUGCUUGUCUUUCUUUAGCAAUUUCUUUAAAACAUGUCACAACAAUAUGAUAACAACAGCAGUUUGCCCAUUCUUUCAGAAAACCUUAGUUAAUUCAAUCGUAGCCAUUAAAACUGAAAUAUAAAACUUGAAAGCAUGUCAUGGUUUAUAGUUCACUCAAAAGCAGCGAAAAUUUAUGCAACUAACUCAAUUUCAAUAAAUAAAUAAAAAACAUCAUACCCCAAAAUCAAAUAUGGAGACUUAGUCAGGAAGCAGUGGAAGGGAAUUGAUCCAAGGUCAUACACCAUUCAUGAUCCAUGCUUUUGCAUCUGGCUAUCGACAUGGGCAAGAAACAAGUUCGGGUAUAUAUGGGGAAAUGGAUCUUUAGGUAGGAGAUAGUUUAUCACCCAAUUGUUGCAGCAAAAAAGGUGGGCAAUUUCUUUUGGUUCCAAAACGUGUAGCUUAGGCUUUGAUUAGAGGUGUCAAGAAUAUGCAAGAGCACAUCUCCUCUAUCUGGUACUUAUCCCUGAAAUUCCAGUACCUUGUUUAAAUUUUACUAAACUUAUGAUUGGGCUUGCCCAAAAGUCUGCAAAAAAAGAAACCCAACCGAUUCGGUUCGGCCAAGAAUUGAACCCCUACAUGUGAAGAACCUUAUGUAUUGAACCUUAUCAUGUACCAGACUUAACUGGACUUGUCUUGCUUCCUUUUGAUAUCUAAGCUUGGUUUAUUCUGAUUAUGUAUUUAAUUUACUUGUCCUACCUAGGUGAGUACUAAAAUGAGUACAACCGCCUUCACUAUGGGUUCUCUUAGAUGUGAUUCGUCCGGUCAUUCCAAGUUUCAAAUAUAUUCCAAUCCUAUUUUGUAUUAUGGGUUGAGUUCAUCAGGAUAACAUUAUCCUUUUUUCAAAACUUAAAUAGGAUUGAAUUUCAGUUCUUCAAAUAAAACUACUUUUUGAAUUUGAAACUUUGCACAAUUAUCUGAACCAACAGAGUUAUUUUGACUGACGCUAUAAAAUGAGGGUCUGAGGAUGGGUUUUAGGUACCUGGAUAUCAUGGCUCACAAGUGUAGGCUAAAACUUCACUUCCGUCUUUGCUCUGAAAUCCCCAAGAAUGGCUGAUCUCCUAAGAGAGGAGGUGCUAUAGGAAUAGAAAUCCGCUAUGGUGGAGGCUCUUUAUUGGGUUCGCUAGUGAGGUUAUUCGACCACUCUGAAGUUCCGAACUCGUUGUCUAGUCACGAAUGUAAAUCCAAUACUCGAUCGACAUCUGACAACAGAUGCAUACUUCAUUCUAGUGCUCUUUCGAUUCGUUGUGGGCACUCACCAGAUUGUGUCAGAAAAGAAAAAGAGGGUCCUAGACCUUCUUGCUUGAACAGAGGUGAUGCUGGCUCUUCAUAUUUAAUGAGGGACGACCCUAGGCCAUCACGUUUCAAACAUUGUCACAUGCACUCCGAUGGGGACAAGAGAUUUUUCCAUGGACAAGUUAUUAGCAGAUGGAGAGGGAAAGAGACUUACUUAAGAAAACUUUGACUCGCCUUAAAAUGGAUCUAGUAUAUGCCGACUGUGCUAUGGCUCUUGCUCACUUUGAGGGGAUUCAUGACAACUUCCAGCAAGGGAUCAGCUACUUUCGUGACAAAGCCAAAGUAGAUUAUUUGUUCAUUGAUUAGGAUAACUUUCCGAGAUAGACAAAUUAAGUUAGGGAGUGAUAAUAAGUUGGGUUUCAAUUCCCAAUCCUCACUGGGGUUUUAGUGGGGUGAGUCCAACUAGUUAGUUGUCUAAUCUUCUAUUUCGUAGUAUCCGUUUGUUUUAUUUUGCUCCGGCCUAUGGCCUUUUAUAAUUUCUUGUACGUUCGAGUUUUUGAAUAAAUCUAUAAGGAUUCUACUUCCCGUUUGGUUUCUCACAAUGUGUGCAAGUUUAAGCGUACUUAAAUUCCCUUAGGGCUAUCUUGGAAUUAGAAUGGGCCCAACUGACUUGCUCUAGAGGAUUGAUAACCUUAGGGUAGUGUUGGGAUCAGCCUGGAUCCUAUUGAUUUCCCCAGAGGAUUGGUAGCCUCUAGGUGAUGUUGGAAUCGUCAUGGAUCCAAUUGACUGUUCUCAGAGGAUUGGUACUCUCGGGCAAUGUUGCAAUCAGCAUGGAUCCUAUCGAUUGACCCAAAGGGAUUGGUAGCCUCUAGGUGACAUUAGGAUCGGCCUGGAUCCAACUCACUGCCUCCAGAGGAUUGGUAACUUCGGGGUAGUGUUGCUAUCGACAUAGAUCCUAUUGAUUGCUCCCAGGGGAUUGGUAACUUCUGGGUGAUGUUGGGAUGGGUAAUACUUUUAAAAUAUUCGAUUUAAUAUUCUACUUGUAGAGUAUAGCCGGCUAUACUUUUGACAUUGUACAUAGUUCAUAAAAAAUUAAUAUAAACUUAGUAUCUUUAGGUCAAUAAUAUAUAUUUAAAAAAAAAUUCUAAUUAGUAAUUAAGUAAUAUCUUAUCAUUUUUUUAGUUACUUUCAUUUGUAAUUAUGUUUUAAUUAUUCUUUUAGUGAAUAAUUAAUGUUAAAUAUUUCAAUUGACUUUGUAAAUUAUAUUACUUAAUAAAUAGUAAUUAAUUUUUAAUAAAAUAUUUAAUUAUUAAUUAUUCACUAACAAAAUAAUAAUUAAAACAUAACUACUAAUUAAAGUAAUUAAAAAAGAGAAAUCCAUAUUAUGCUAUUGAAAGGUAUAGCAGCAUGUAUAGCGGCUAUACUUGUGUAAUAUUCUUCUUAUAGAGUAUAGCCGUGCGGCUAUACGGUUGAAAUAUACUUGUAGAAUCUCGUCAGGCUGCCAAGCUGUUGAAAUAUUGUUCAUUAAAGCGUAUAGCCGCUCGGCUAUACCUUUGAAAUAUUCUUCUAUUUAGACAUUGAGUAAUAUCUUAUCAUUUUUUAGUUACUUUCAUUUGUAAUUAAGUUUUAAUUAUUAUUUCUUUAGUGAAUUAUUAGUAUUAAAUGUUUAAAUGAACUUCAUAAAUUAUAUUUCUUAAUAAAUAGUAAUUAAUUUUUUUCUUUAAUAAAAUAUUUAAAUACUAAUUAACGUAAUUAAAAGAGAAAUCCAUAUUAUGCUACUUAAAGGUAUACCCAACCGGUUAUACCUUUGAAACUCUAUUUAAUGAAACUUUCUAUUUUAUAGUAUAGCCACGCGGCUAAACGUUUGAAAUUCUCCUCUUAAAGAGCAUAGCCGCCCGGCUAAACGUUUGAAAUUCUCCUCUUAAAAAGCAUAGCCCCACGGCAAUACAUUUGAAAUAUUCUACAUAGUUACUUUCAUUUGUAAUUAUGUUUUAAUAAUUAGUAUUAAAUAUUUUAAUUCACUUCUAAAAUUAUAUUACUUAAUAAAUAGUAAUAAUUUUUUUUGGUUUAAUAAAAUAUUUAAAUACUAAUUAUUCACUAACUAAAUAUUAAUUAAAACAAAACUACAAAUUAAAGUCAUUGAAAAACAUAUGGUAUAGCCGCACGGCUAUAUGUUUGAAACUUGCUAUUUAAAGCCUAUAGCUGGUCGGCUAUAUUGAUGAAACUUUCUAUUCUUACAAUAGAAUUCAAAAAGAAGAAAAACUUACAUGUACUGGCUCAUGAGUAUGUAAAUCAUGGUCGCUUUGAGAGGGGUGUUAGUUCUUGAAAUUAUUAGCGGUAAAAAGAUUGGUAGAUUCCUAUAUGGCGAAAAUGAAGAGGACCUGUUAACCUAUGUGAGCAUAAAUACAUUCAGUCAGUGUAUUUUCCCUCUUUUACCUGGGUGAAAUUUCUUUUUGACUAUAUUGAUAGGCCUGGAGAAAUUGGAGGGAGCGGAUAGGGUUCAAAACAUCAUAGAUCUUGUGUUGACGAGAAGUUCACAAUCCGAAACGAUGAGAUGCAUCCACAUUGGUUUAUUAUGUGUGCAAGAAAAUGUGGUGGACAGACCAACCACGGCUUUGGUUGUAUCCGUGCUUAACAGCCAGUCUCUCACACUCGCAGUACCCUCACAGCCUGCAUUCUGGUGGUUGAGUACCAACGGUACAAUAACAUAUUUAGGUUUUAGAUUUUGUUUAUUUAUUUAGCACCGAAGUUUUGUUGGUAACUUCUUGCUUCAAAUUCAAAUUGGCGUUGAUAAAAUGGCUUCCCGUGGCUUCACUAUUAUGCCUGUUUAUCUCCAUCCUGAGAGGAUGUGGAAUAUCUUCUGAGUUAUGUAAGUAAAAAGGAAAAAAACAGGAUUUUUUUUUAUUUUUAAUCUCUGAUUAUAUUUCUACAAAUUGACAAAUUAAUGGUUGCAGGCAUGCAAAAGUUGGAGGGAAGGGACAGGUUCAAACCUAAUAGAUCCCACAAUGGGGACUAAUUCAAGAAGUGAAGAAGUUUAUGAUGCAUAUCCACAUUGGGACUAAUUAACUCACAUCAGCUGCAGCUUGUAAACUGACGAGGUUUUUUUUCAGUUUUCUUGCGAAAUUGGCAAGUUGCCUAGAAAAAGAAAACAUGUCGUUGGGGUUGGAAUGGGUUUGGAGCUUAUGGGCUUUCGUUCCUCGUUCGAUCGACUAGCUUAUCUGGGUAAACUGAAAAAUGUGCUAUGAAAGAAACAAGAAAUGUAUAAUUGGGCUCUCUGUCUGGAUCAUGAUCAUGCAUGGAACACAGACAGAGUGGCUUCAAAAGAAAAAAGAAAAAGUGCAAGCACUAUAAUUAGAAUAUAUGUUGGAGUCUUCGUCUUCGUCUUCCACUAAGGUAAACCAUGUCUUCGUCUUCGUCUUAGUCUUCCACUUCGUCUUCCACUAAUUCGUCUUCGUCUUCCACUUAAUUGGAAGCAUCGAUUUAACUUGGUGGUGUGUGCACCAGCACCACUCAGAGGUCAGAGCUCUACUUUCUGAGAAUAAAAAGUGUUGUGCGGAAGCGUCAACCAACUGCGAGUGAAAAAUAACAACAGGCAGGAGAAAAAUAGAACAAAAUAAUCAACAAGAACAACACCAAGAUUUAUACUGGUUCGGCAAUUGCCUACAUCCAGUUUGGAGACGACGGAGUAUUCCACUAUAAUCAAUGAGAGAAUACAAUAGUGUUUAACCACUCAGAAAACCCAAGCCCCAAAUAUACCCAAGCUCACACACUCAAGAAUAUAAAGGGGAUACAAAUUGAGUACAAUUUAGAGAGGGAAAAAUAACCAACAAUAGCAACAAAAGCUUAGUUGCCCAAACUAUUAUUUUUCUCUCUCCCAACUUCUCUCUUCUCUCAUCAACUCUCGGUGCUUUCCGCUCUUCCAUUUUUUUCCCAAGUGCAUGUUCCCUUUUAUAAGCCAAACAUUUGCUCUUCAACCACCCAACGGCAAAAGCAAAACACACAAGUCAAAAAGUAAAAGUAAGCCAUCAAUGCUAGCCAUUAAUUUGUCUCCAAUUUGUCUGCUAGCCGAAAGCAAAACACACAAGUCAAAAGGUAAAAGUAAGCCAUCAAUGCUAGCCAUCAAUUUGUCUCCAAUUUGUCUGCUAGCCGAAAGCAGUUUUGCUUUUUGACUAAUUUUUGAGCCAAUCAUCAACAAUCUCCACCUUGGCUCAAAACCUCGAAGCAACACUCUCAAUGGUCGUCUCCCAAUCCCCCAUGGGGCAAUCAACAAACUUUACAAAUGCCAAUUAAGUCUAAGCAAUGCUUAAACUUGAGCAACGAAACUGGCUUUGUCAACAUAUCCGCAGGAUUGUCAGCAGUCCCAAUUUUCUGAAGAAGAAUAUCUCCCUCUUCAAUAAUGGGAAGUGCAUAUGCCACAAUAUCAGUAAACCGAGCAGGCUUUCGAAUUUCCCUUCUCGAUCUUCUGGUUGCAAUAGAAUCUUGUUGCUGUGGAGGCUCUUGGGUAGGUGCCUCCUCUUCAUCAUCGUUGUCCUCAUCAUCAUAAUCAAUUGUAGGACUAGUGUCUGUAGUAUCAGACCUUACUGGAACAACUGGAGUUUUCAGUAACUCCACCUGCUUUGAACUACUCAUGGUCUUAGUCGCUUCAAUUUCACCUUCAUGCUUGUUCUGAUUUACCGUAGCAGCCUCAUCAAAAGUCACAUCUCUGCUUACAACAAAUUUCUUCUCAUCUGGACACCAAAGUCGGUAUCCCUUCACGCCAGUGCUAAAUCCCAUAAAUAGAGCUUUCUUUGCUCUUGGAUCUAACUUGCUUUCCCUGACAUGAUAGUAAGCAGGACAACCAAAUAUGAGUAAAUACUUGUAAUCAGUACAAGGUUUACCAGACCAUACCUCCAUGGGCAUUUUGCCCUCAUUCGCAGCAGCAGGCAACCGAUUAAUGAGAUGGCUUGCAUAAGUAAUCGCCUCAGCCCAAAACGCCUUGCCUAAACCAGCAUUAGACAACAUACACCGAACUUUCUCAAGCAAAGUACGGUUCAUGCGUUCUGCCACCCCAUUCUGUUGCGGUGUCUCCCUAACCGUGAAGUGCCUCACAAUACCCUCAUCUUGACAAACUUUCAAGAAAGGAUCAGACUUAUAUUCACCACCAUUGUCUGAUCUGAGAGUCUUGAUCUUUCGACCGCUUUGCGUUUCAAUCAUCUUUUUCCACUUCAGGAAUAUCCUCAAGACUUCAUCUUUACGCUUCAUGGUGUACACCCAUAUUCUUCUAGAGAAGUCAUCAACAAAGGAGACAAAAUAAUGGCUACCUCCCCAAGAUGCAUUAUUGGAGGGUCCCCAAACAUCAGUGUGAACAUAAUCUAGAAUGCCUUUAGUGUGGUGAAUAGCAGUGCCAAAUUUCACUCUAGUUUGCUUACCCAGCACACAGUGUUCACAGAAUUCCAAUUUGCAUGCCUUUGCACCUUUCAAUAAGCCUUGCUUCACCAAUCCUUGCAACGCUUUUUCACCAGCAUGCCCAAGACGCAUAUGCCAUAACCUUGUGGUGUCUGUGCUAUCUGCGUCAGCAGCUUCGGUGACAGCUGCUCCACCAAUAACUGUACUACCCUGCAAGAAAUACAAGUUAUUUCGUCUUGUACCUUUCAUCACCACUAGUGCCCCAUGCACAGCUUUAAGAACUCCACCCUCCAUGGUGAUCUUGAGACCCUUGGAUUCCAAAGUGCCCAAUGAGAUGAGAUUCUUCUUCAUAUCCGGAACAUACCGAACAUCACUCAAUUCUCUGACUGUUCCAUCAUGCAUCUUCAAACAGAUUUUGCCUAUCCCUUGUGUUUUGCAGGCAUUAUUAUUGCCCAUCAAAACAACUCCACCAUCCAGCUCCUCGAAGCUAGAAAACCAUUCCCGAAUAGGACACAUAUGAUAGGUGCAACCUGAAUCCAAAAUCCACUCAGUUGAGUGACCAUCAGCAGAUGAACUAGCCAAAGCAAACUCGAAAUCUUCAUCUCCAGAUUUUGCAACAUUUGCUUCAGAACCCGCUUCCUCCUUCUCUUUGUUCUUCAAUUUGGGGCAGUCUUUCUUCCAAUGACCCUUUUGGCGACAAAAGGCACAUUCAUCUUUAGCAGGAAACUUCCCUCGAGAUUUUCCCCGCUUCCCAGAUUUUCUUUCCUCUGUUCGACCCCUUGCAACGAGUGCCUCGGUUUGUGAAUUUUGAGUCUUCUGUUCCUUCUUUCGACACUCAUGAUUCACCAAUGCCGCAGACACCUCAUCCAGUUUCACCUCGGAUUUUCCAUACAACAAAGUAGUUGUCAAAUGAUCAUAAUCAUCAGGCAAUGAAUUUAACAAACAUAGUGCCUUAUCCUCGUCAGGAAUUAUCACAUCAAGAUUUGCUAAAUCAGCAAGUAUUUUAUUAUAAUCAUUGAGGUGUUCAUGCAUAGAAAUACCUGAGCGAUAUUGAAAUCGGAAGAGUCGUUUCUUCAAGAAGAGCCGAUUUUCUGCGCUCUUGGUCAUAUACUUCUCCUCCAAUUUCAUCCAUAACUUCUUAGCAGAAGUUUCCUUCAUAUACGGGUAUUUCAACUCUUUAUCAAGGAAUGAUCGAAUAGCGGCACAAGCAUGGAGAUUAAUUCGCGUCCACUGCUUGUCAUCAAUAUCUUCGGGUUUAUCCUCCAGAACCAUAUCCAGCUCUUGUUGAUACAACACAUCCAUAACUUCACAUUGCCACAUACCAAAAUUAUUAGAGCCAUUAAAUUUAUCAACCUCUAACCUUGUAGUGGCAAUUGGAUGUCUAUUGGAUGUAGGUGCCGACGACAACGAUGCCGACUCCUUCUCCUUCAAAACUUCGUCUUUUUCUCCAGCCAUCAAAUCUGCUUGGUACUAUUCACGGGACUGUAGCAGAGCACUAUUCACGGGGUACUGUUUACAGUACUGUAGCACCAGCAAAUUUUUCACUCCUACAAGACCCCAGUCGAAAACUGGAGCUCUGAUACCACUUGUUGUGCGGAAGCGUCAACCAACUGCGAGUGAAAAAUAACAACAGGCAGGAGAAAAAUAGAACAAAAUAAUCAACAAGAACAACACCAAGAUUUAUACUGGUUCGGCAAUUGCCUACAUCCAGUUUGGAGACGACGGAGUAUUCCACUAUAAUCAAUGAGAGAAUACAAUAGUGUUUAACCACUCAGAAAACCCAAGCCCCAAAUAUACCCAAGCUCACACACUCAAGAAUAUAAAGGGGAUACAAAUUGAGUACAAUUUAGAGAGGGAAAAAUAACCAACAAUAGCAACAAAAGCUUAGUUGCCCAAACUAUUAUUUUUCUCUCUCCCAACUUCUCUCUUCUCUCAUCAACUCUCGGUGCUUUCCGCUCUUCCAUUUUUUUCCCAAGUGCAUGUUCCCUUUUAUAAGCCAAACAUUUGCUCUUCAACCACCCAACGGCAAAAGCAAAACACACAAGUCAAAAAGUAAAAGUAAGCCAUCAAUGCUAGCCAUUAAUUUGUCUCCAAUUUGUCUGCUAGCCGAAAGCAAAACACACAAGUCAAAAGGUAAAAGUAAGCCAUCAAUGCUAGCCAUCAAUUUGUCUCCAAUUUGUCUGCUAGCCGAAAGCAGUUUUGCUUUUUGACUAAUUUUUGAGCCAAUCAUCAACAAAAAGCUCUAGCCGAAGCUUUUAUAUAUUCUUAUUUCUUAUUUGAGAAGCACCAGCACCACUCAGAACAAACACAUCAAUUGAGAUCCUUAACCCUGUCAUAUAUACCUCUGCAGGUUUCACCCUGUACAACGAGCCAAAAGAAAGAAGUCUCAACUUCUACAUUCAUUUUCAAGAUUAAUGAAAAUUAGAAAGAAAGAACCCUAAUUGCCAAUUGGACAUGGUGUUCAACUGGGCAGGCAAGGAACCCUAAUUGCCGAGCCAACCAGUAAAAAUUGACCACUCAGUCUCCGCGUGCACGAUGACAUAUACAUAUUUUACUGUAGGGGUGCUCAGAUUUGAUCCAUCUUAGUAUCUUUCAUUACAAGUUCUAUUCGUUUGGAAUUCAUUUUUAAAUAUGGACCGGUGAUACAAAGCAUUCAAGAUCGGAAUGAUGGAUUUUCUUGCUAAUUUUUUUUCUGCUUUUCAAGACAAACACACGAGGCACAAUAUUACUACAGGAUGGCCACCGAUCCACAGUAUCAACAUGAGCAUGACAUAAAAGAAUUAAUAUUGUAUCAACUUAAUCUAUCUGGAUCUUCCACAUUUUGCCGAUCCAACACUCCCACAAUUAAUUCUUAUUAUUAUCCUGGAUUUGAGAAAAGCAUCCUAUACGUCUAAUUUGGUAGUGAGUCCGCCUCCAAAGUUCGAGUCUCCUUCCUGUAUCGGGAUAGUUUUCGCUAUAAAAGCCGAAGUUAUUUUCAUACAGAGGAACAAACAGAGAAAUGGGUUCCUCAAGAUUGCUAAUUUUCUUCAUUCUUCCUAUACUCUUGGUCUUGGCCCCUCUUGCUCCUACCAUAGUGGGCGACCAUAGCACCAGCGGUGUUUGCACGAUGAGAGCAGACUACUGCUGGAGCUGCUUCAAUACUAAAAACACCAACAAUGGCAACAUCUACAAUCAAAACCUCAACACCCUCCUCUCCUCUUUCCCUUCCAACCCCAAAAUCAAUCCCAGAUUUUACAGUUCUUCUCUGGGACGAGCCCCCAACAAAGUGAACGCAAUUGCCGUAUGCAGAGGGGACGUUGCACUCGAAGAUUGCCGCACCUGUUUCAAGGACUCUGUUUCCAUUCUCCUGCAGAACUGUACUAAUCAGAAGGAAGCAAUCAUAUGGGCAGAGCGCUGUGCGGUUCGAUACUCGAACAUCUCGAUUUUCGGUGUGCUUGAAUAUGAGCCUGUUAAGUUUGUGCCGAGCCCAAAUAACAUAUCAAACGCUGAACAGUACAAGCAGGUGCGCGACCCCUUAUUUGGAAAUUUAAGUGAGAAAGCUGCAGCAGGGAACUCUGUUUUAAAAUUUGCAGCAGGGAAUGCGUUGGUGCCUUUAACAAAUCAAACUAUAUAUGCAACUGUCCAGUGCAGCCCUGAUUUGAACAAACAAAACUGCAGCGAUUGCCUUAAAAAGUCCAUCCCAAAUAUUACAGAGUGUUGUGGUGGUGUGGGUGGAGGAAGAGUUCUUAGACCCAGCUGUUAUUUGAGGUUUGAGUCCAAUCCUUUCUGAGUCUGGAGCAGAUACCCUAAUAAACCUUCCAGGCGAACAAGGUAUAAUAAUUUAUUUUUGUUUGUUGCUUAAUUUCUUGUUUGAGCCCCAAUUAGUUAACACCACGUCGCUAACAAACAGAGCCUUGUGAUUUUUGCAGGAAAUAAUACGAGUAUCAUUACAAUAAAAGUGUCGCCACCGUCAUUCUGACGAUUGGUAUUGUCAUUAUGCUUGUGAGAGUCUGGAAGCGAAGAAGGGCAAGAAAGUUUAUUCAAUUUUGUUUUAUUACAAUUUUGAAUUUAACAAGGGCACUUAUCGUUUGUUGGUGCUUGAAUGUGUCAAGACCAAUGUAAUAGGGAUUACCCUCUUUUUGCUUAAUAAUAAAAAAUAAGGAUUAUUCUAUUGUUUUUUUAUUUAUUUUAUACAAUACGAUAUUCUAAAUUAUUUUAAUAUAUGAGCUCUGAUGCAAAGGGCAGACAUUAUAUGGUAUAAUCUUAAUUUUGCUUUUGUAAUGUCUAAGUGUAUAUUCAUGCCAAAUCUAAAGGUCUUAGUAAGAUUUUGGUUGAAGGAGAUUCUAAGCUCCUAAUUGAUUCUGUUAACAAAGUUUGUGAAGUCCCCUGGCGUCUCCCACACUUUGGUUAAGAAUAUUCAUUUCUUGGCUUGUUUUGAGGAAAUCAUCUUUCAGUGUGUCCCACGUGAGGCGAAUUUUUCUACAGGCGCUUUGGCUUCGGCUGAUCAUUUGUACAUGUCUCCCCAUGUUUGGAUUCAUUCUCUCCCUCCUGCUGCUAAAUAUGAUUGUUUGUUCGAUUUAGUUGCUUUGUAGUGUUCCUUUUCUGUUGUGUAAGAUGUGCGGACUGGACAACUCCAAAAAGCCCAAUUCAAAAUGAAUGCGCAUGCCGAAAUAAACCCCAAGAUUUUAGCAUGGCGAGGUAAUAUAUUAGAUUUUAGCAUGGCGAGGUUGUUCGUGCUUGAUCAAACACAAGGAAGUACCAAUUGAAUUGUGGGGACCUAGUAAGUACUAGCAAUGGGCCCGUUAGGCCUAGGUUCGGUUUGAGUUGGUUUUUAGGGCUCAACCCGAACACCGAACCGUAGGCUUCAGUUUGGCUAUUUUUAAAACCAAAACCAAACCAUAAUUGAUGAAAACCGACCACUUCGGUUAAUCGGACUUGGUGGUUUGAUUUGGUUCGGUUUCAGUUUUUUGGCUUUCUGAGAGAGAGAGAGAGAGAGAGAGAGAGAGAGAGAGAGAGAGAGAAGAAAAAAAGAGAGGGAGAGAUGGAGAAGAAGAAGGAGAAAAAGAAAAGAGAGAGAAGAAGAAGAAUGAAAAAAGAAGAAGAGGGAGAUGGGGAGAGGGAGUGAAGACAGACAUAAGAAGAAGGAAAAAAAAAUAGAGAGAGAGGGACUGAUAAAGACAAGACAAACGGAGAGAUUAAGAGAAAAGAAAAAGAAAAGAUUGAAACUAUGUAUUAUAUAUACAUUCCUUAAUAUAUAUAUAUCUUAUAAUAAUAUUAUAUAUAUAUAUUUUUUUUAAUAUCUUCAGUUUGGUUUGGUUAAACAGGAGUUUUGAAUAUUGCAAACCGUACACCGAACCAUAUAUUUCAGAUUGGUUUGGGUUCAAACCGAUGACCCAAAAAAAAAUUGAAAAAAAAACCAAACCAUCAGUUUGGUUUGGGCGGUUUGACCGGGUUACCGGUUAGAGGUAGGAAAAUCAUGAUCGGGAUAGCGGACCUAAAGCUAUGGAAUUUGGGCGAUUCCCUAAAUGCCUUUCUGGAUAUUCCUCAGUGUCCCGGCUAUUCACGGUGCGAGCCGCGAGAGCAGUACCAAAUUGAGGCAAACUCUGAAUACAUAAUAUGACCUCAAAAUAACAGGGAAUACACAGUGCAGUAGCAAUAAAUGCGAGAAUAUUUACUUUCAUAAUCUCAUUUGUUUAAUUUUAAAACCGUGUGAAAUGUGUACAAAGUUGUGAAAAUAUGUAGGAAAGAUGGUAUUAUUUAUACAGACAUGGAGAUCUAAAUAGUGGCAUCAUGCUUUGUUUAGCAAGUCUAAGUUACAAAAAAUAGGAUAACAUGUUUUUUUAUGCUGUUUGUCAGGUUAAAAUACUAACCAUAUUUUAAUAAAUCAAGUAGCAGUUAAAACAUCAAAAUAUCGGCAAUAUUGAGCUACUUAUUGUUCAAAAGAGUUUGGAUAGGUCUUUAUAUAUAUGCUACUAGGUGAUGGAAGAUGAUUUUUCUACAUUGAUCUCUGUUAUGAGGGGUUCUUUCUCUUGUUAGCUUAGCAGUAGAGGUGGCUUAUGUUCUUUCUUGUCCUCUGCGGAGGUUUUAACUAUGUUAGUGUAGAUAAAUGGAAAAUUUUGAGUGAAAACAACAAGUAUUAUCACAUAAUUAAGUUCAAAAAUCCAACAAGACAACACAACAAUUUAGGUACAUCAAGCAUUCUAUUAAUAUGAUGGACAAAAGUAUAACCUCAAUCUAUUUAACCUCAAUCUAUUUAAUCAGUGGCCACCAAAGCAUCUCCAACAGUGAACGCAAAUCUUCCAUCGUUGUCCCCCAACCAGGCCAACCAGCUAGUUCGAAAUCAACUGAAGAUGAACUCCUUCUCUGAGCGAACGAAACGUUCGCAGGGAAAGAAAGACAGAAGGAAAAGGGACAAAAAGGGAAGAACAUAAAAUGUUAAGUGGAGGUCAUUUUCGGCGCUAAUGAGAAAACAAAAUUGAAAAUAAUACUGAAAAGAGGGACAUUUCCGUCAUUACAUUAUGCUUAAAUACAAUAUAGAGUUGGAUUGAGCUUUAGUAUAUACAUAAUUUGACGAGAUUUGAUGGCUUAUAUGACAAUUGUGUGCAUUAAUCUAUAUCAAUAAUCCAAUUCAUACUACUAACAAAAUCGACUUCAAUGUUAUUAAUAUACAGUGAAUAUAUACUUCCAAAGUAUGUGAUGCAUGAACACUUUUCUGUUAAGUCGGAUGUCUAAUUUUAGUGUCUUAAUUUUAGAGAUAGUAGGUGAACAAAGAAAGAGUUUUCGUCGCAGAGAGAAUGUGGAAUAUCUUCUGGACUAUGUAAGUAAAAAGGAAAAUAACAUAAACAGAGCAGCUUUUUUAUUUAUAUUAAUAUAUGUAUAUAUAUUUUAAAUUAUAUAAAAUGGAUGUGUUGAAUUGAAUGAACCAGUUAUUCUUUCUUCUUGUUUUCUUUUUUACCUUAAAUUUGUAGCACCAAGUAAUUACUGAUGUAAUUGUUUGAUUACUUGAUUGGUAAGUACUAAUUAACUCGUUAAAACAAAUUAACAGUUGUUCCCGAAUCAUGGUCAUGUCCGCGUGUUAAAGGGGACAACCCGAUAACAGUGAGUGUCCAGACACCACGGGCCUACACAAAAGGAGUCUUUAAGUCCACAGGUCAGGUCUUCUAUUUGAGAUGUCUGAGGAGAAACAAAGAAAAAAACCAAAAGCAAACGUACGCAAAACGCAUUCUUGUCUUUUAGUUUCAACUGUGUUCUAAACUUAACCAAAUCCAAGAAUGGUUUACCUUAACUUGAAGACCUCGUUCCUACGAUUCUUGUUUGAAGGAGGAAGAAGGCUGGGCUCUCUCUCUCUCUCUCUCUCCAAGAAAACCAUCCUUUCCCACCUUUUGAUCUCUUUGGAAACACCUACCCCCACCCAUGGAGAAAGAAGAGACCAACACGCGUCCUUUCAAUCCUAUACCAUCGACACCUACGCUAAGUUGGCACAAUUGAUCAACAAUCAGAAUGACACGUGUCCCUUAGCUGGCCCAAGGAUAGUCGCAGGAUCAGAUUACCAGUCGACGCCCACAAUUUAGCCACAUCAUUUCUUGAUUUCCAAUAUUCCUCUAUCUCUAAAAAUUCACUGAGCUUGGAAAAAUACUACCAACCCAUAAACACAUGUAGUUUCCGUUAAUCACAACUGCAGCUCAAGUUAAAUAUUUUCUGUACAUAAAGUAAAACCAAUUGUCGUUUAUUUGAGAGGCCAAAUUAAACUAAUUUGUUUUGGUAUCAAUUUAUCAAAUGCCAAACUAAUCCGGACUGGAAACAUGUUUUCAACAAAACCCAAAUCCAAUCAACCCAACACAAACCAAUAAAUUUCGGAUUAAUUUGGAUUUAGGCCCAUAUUAAAAUAUUAAAAUUAAAAUAAAUUUUUGCAUCACAUUUUCAUCCAUGAACUGACGUGUCUGUGUCUGACGAAUAUACCUCGCAAUUGCCUUGUGCUUUCUGGUUGGCCCGCAUCAUUAGUCUUCCAAUCCAAUGAUAAAGAGUGAAGAAAACAUGUGGUCUGGCUAAUUCAGAAGAAAAUUCAAAGAGAAGACUUGAGGUCAAAUUAAGGGUCGGGAAGCCAUCUAGACCAUGUAUAUUUUUAAGUCAAGAAACCAUCUUGUCUUUCCUUCAAGACGAAGUAGUUGUUGCUUGUUGUGAGUUGAGCAAGAAAAAUGGGUUCCUCAAGAUCAAUGCUUUUCUUCAUUAAUCUUGCUAUUAUUAUCUUAAACCUUGUUGCUCCCACCAUAUCCCAAGAUGAUGGACCAUGCACACCUACGGCAGACUACUGCUGGAAAUGCUCUAAUACUGGCACCUACACAGCAGGUGACAAGUACGAAGAGAACCUCAACAGCCUCCUCUAUUCCUUCUCCUCCAACACCCAAAACAAUUCCGGGUUUUACAGUUCAUCCAAGGGACAAGACUCCAACAAGAUCAAUGCAAUUGCAUUAUGCAGAGGAGAUCUCUCACUGAAGUCUUGUCAGGCUUGUCUCAACACGUCUACUGAAAUUCUCUUGCAAAAUUGUUCAACUCAUAAGGAAGCAAUCAUAUGGGCAGAGCCUUGUAUGGUGAGAUACUCACACGACGUGAUAUUUGGUAUUGAACAAACGGACCCUCUUAAGCAUUUGCCUAGCCCAAACUAUCCUAAAAAUCCUCAACAGUUUGAGCCGGUGCUUACCCACUUGUUGGGUAAUUUAAGUGACACAGCUGCGUCAACGAAUUCUCCUAAAAAAUUUGCAGCAGGGCAUUCAACUGUCCCCGGAGGUGAAACAAUAUACGCACUUGCUCAGUGCACUCCAGACAUAGACAAGCAAAAUUGCAGCAGUUGCCUUAAACAGUCCGUCACAGAAAUUCAAACCUGUUGCGGUAGAAAGAAUGGAGGAAGAGUCCUUAAACCCAGCUGUAAUUUAAGGUAUGAGAAUAAUAGUUUCUAUGCGUCUACGGCCGAUUCCGUCGUAGAUAUUCCAGCUCCAUUUCUGGCAGCACCAGCACCUGAAGAAGGUAUGUAUGCUUAUUAUGGUUACCCUGCAAAUCUUCAAUUUGAUCCAUGUCUUACAAUUGUGUGGUGUGGUUUUGGCUUUUGAUAAGAUAUCCCAUCUGAUUUUCAGCAAAAAAGAAGAGUAACACAAAACAAACUGUCAUCAUCAUCGUUGUGGUUUUGGUUGUUUUUGUCACUAUUUUCAGCAGCAUAUGCUUUUUCUUCAGAGUAAAGAAACGAAGGGUAAAACUUGAACAAGGUAAGUUCAAGUCUGUUUAUUUAUCUUAGUGAGGUUUUGGAACUCUGUUUGCUAAUUCAUUUUCCCCUUUUCAGAUGAGAAUUCGGAAGACGUUAGUCUGGUGGAAUCGUUGCAAUAUGAUUUUGAAACUAUAAGAUCUGCAACAGAUGACUUCUCUGAUGCAAAUAAGCUUGGACAGGGUGGAUUUGGAGCCGUUUACAAGGUAACGAAACACUAUCACAAGGAAAAAGAUUCAUCAUGAAUGAAUUGUUUUGCGUAAUUAACUUUUCAAAUUUUCUUAUAAACCUUCAGGGUACGCUAGCGAAUGGAACAUAUAUAGCUGUGAAAAGGCUCUCUAAGAAUUCUGAACAAGGUGAACGUGAAUUCAAAACUGAAGUCACGUUAGUUGCUCAACUUCAGCAUCGGAAUUUAGUGAGGCUGCUAGGUUUUUGCUUGAAAGCAGGGGAAAGAAUCCUCAUUUAUGAAUAUGUGCCUAAGACCAGCCUUAAUCACUUCAUUUUUGGUAUGUUUGUUCUACUUUUUGUCAUAAUUCAUAAUCAUUUCUGCCUCGAUUUUGUAUUAUAGGAAAGCAUAUUAACAAAAUCAUGUUUCAUUUUGAUGGAAUUGGAUUUAGAUCCAAUCGAUCAACCACAUUUGGAUUGGGAAACACGUUACAAAAUCAUAGGAGGCAUUGCUCGAGAGCUUCUUUACCUUCACGAAGAUUCUCGACUUCGAAUUAUCCACCGUGAUCUUAAACCUAGCAACAUUCUGUUGGAUGAAGAUAUGAAUCCUAAAAUUGCGGAUUUUGGCAUGGCAAGAUUGUUUAUGAUGGAUCAAACUCAAGGAGAUACCAAGACAAUUGUGGGAACCUAGUAAGUAUCUGCAAAUUUCAAAGCUAAAUUACGUUGUUGUGCUUGUCCACACCAUAACUAAAAUUUUAAUUUGGUGAAUACAAUAAUGCAGUGGAUAUAUGGCUCCAGAAUAUGUAGGUCAUGGACGUUUUUCAGUCAAG